rnacentral:lncRNA from 1 species
AAGCAACCUGUGACAAUUGAUGGAUUUAUGGAUGAACAUACAAUGGAAUAUUAUUCAGGCUUAAAAAGGAAGAAAAUUCUGACACAUGCUACAUCAUGGAUGAAACUUGAAGAUACUAUGCUAAGUGAAAGAAGCCAGUCACAAAAGGUUGGAACCUGGACUGCCAAAGGCAGUCGUCUGUUUAAGGAAAAUCCUCCAUGGAAAUUCUUCUCCAUAGCUUCCUGCUGUCUGCUGCCUUCUCUUGAGGCUGCUGCCAGACUUAAGAAUCCGGUGAGCAGAAGAAUGGAACGGAAGCGAAUGAAACAGAAUGGAAUGGAACAGAACAGAACAGCACAGGAUAGAACAGAAUAGGAUAGAAUAAUUCUAUCCUUCCACGGGAUAUAAGCCUCUUUGAUUAAGUAGAAAU